UACGUAGGGGGCAAGCGUUAUCCGGAUUUACUGGGUGUAAAGGGAGCGUAGACGGCAGUGCAAGUCUGGAGUGAAAGGCGGGGGCUCAGCCCCCGGACUGCUCUGGAAACUGUACGGCUGGAGUGCAGGAGAGGUAAGUGGAAUUCCUAGUGUAGCGGUGAAAUGCGUAGAUAUUAGGAGGAACACCAGUGGCGAAGGCGGCUUACUGGACUGUAACUGACGUUGAGGCUCGAAAGCGUGGGGAGCAAACAGG
rnacentral:rRNA from 1 species